CGAAUGCUGACAUAAGUAACGAUAAAGCGGGUGAAAAGCCCGCUCGCCGGAAGACCAAGGGUUCCUGUCCAACGUUAAUCGGGGCAGGGUGAGUCGACCCCUAAGGCGAGGCCGAAAGGCGUAGUCGAUGGGAAACAGGUUAAUAUUCCUGUACUUGGUGUUACUGCGAAGGGGGGACGGAGAAGGCUAUGUUGGCCGGGCGACGGUUGUCCCGGUUUAAGCGUGUAGGCUGGUUUUCCAGGCAAAUCCGGAAAAUCAAGGCUGAGGCGUGAUGACGAGGCACUACGGUGCUGAAGCAACAAAUGCCCUGCUUCCAGGAAAAGCCUCUAAGCAUCAGGUAACAUCAAAUCGUACCCCAAACCGACACAGGUGGUCAGGUAGAGAAUACCAAGGCGCUUGAGAGAACUCGGGUGAAGGAACUAGGCAAAAUGGUGCCGUAACUUCGGGAGAAGGCACGCUGAUAUGUAGGUGAGGUCCCUCGCGGAUGGAGCUGAAAUCAGUCGAAGAUACCAGCUGGCUGCAACUGUUUAUUAAAAACACAGCACUGUGCAAACACGAAAGUGGACGU
rnacentral:rRNA from 1 species